GAGUAAAUAUGUACGUUUUGCCUUUGUCGUUUCUUCUGUUGUCAAACAAUUGAAAUAACAGAAACGUAAACAAAAUUAUGCAUUCCCAAAUUAUUAGUUUAUUGAGCUGCAAUUAUAAGGUAACAGAUAUUCUACUCCUAGGUGUUGUCCAUCCUUACUGUGGAAAAUGAUUAAGAGGCCUGCGUGCUGAUUAUGAGUAGCCCGAACUUGCAAUCAACUUUUAAUGCAAAGGAAGACUACACUGCCAUACUCGAUAAUCUUAAGCAGGAAUUUGACGAGCGUUGGAAGUCCCAGGAACCAUCGCCCUACACCAACCUAGAGGGUUAUGUACAGCGUGCGGUCAUCGGCACUGGCAGUUUUGGCACUGUUUUUUUGGUUAAGGAGAAGAAAGGCAAGAAUUAUUACGCAGCUAAGAUGAUGAAUAAAGAUGAUCUGGUACGACUGAAACAGGUCGCUCAUGUGCACAAUGAGAAGACCGUACUUAGCGCCAUUCGGUUCCCAUUUCUAGUGCAUUUGAUCGAUGCUACCAAAGACUUUGACUACUUGUACCUAGUGCUGCCGUUCGUAAAUGGCGGUGAGCUGUUCACAUAUCAUCGCAAAGUGCGCAAGUUUAACGAGAAACAAUCGCGGUUCUAUGGGGUCCAGGUUCUGUUGGCUCUCGAGUAUUUGCACCAUAUGAGUCUGAUAUAUCGCGACUUGAAGCCCGAGAAUAUCUUAAUGGAUGCUCGUGGCUAUAUUAAAGUGACAGAUUUCGGCUUUACCAAGCGUGUGGACAAUAGAACAUCUACACUUUGUGGCACACCCGAGUAUUUGGCACCGGAAAUCAUUCAACUAAAGCCCUAUACAAAGUCCGUUGACUGGUGGGCUUUUGGCGUAUUGAUGUAUGAGUUUGUGACUGGUCAUUCACCUUUUUCAAUGCAUAAUCGUGACGUCAUAUUGAUGUACUCGAAAAUUUGUUUGGGCGAAUACCGGAUACCCUCAUUUUUUACGAGUCAGCUGAAAAGUUUGGUAGAGAACUUGUUGCAGAAUGAGCCAUCUAAGCGUUUAGGUAACUCAACCGAGGGCUCCGCACAAAUCAAAGCUCAUCCAUGGUUUCAAGGCGUCGAUUGGUUUGCAAUACUCAAUCAAGAUAUUACCCCGCCAUACGUUCCGACUGUAUCGAAUAUUGAAGAUUUGUCAAACUUUGAAAAUUUUGAGAACAAAACGAAACAGAAAUCGAAAAUAAAUCGCCACCCAGACUUGUUUAAUAAUUUUUAAACGUUGGUCUUCCAAUAUGUUUUGUUUUCGCUGGACAUUUGUUCACUUUCAAAAGGGGAAAACGUAUCCUUAUUCCCCCAAUCACAUGCAUGCCAUUAGAGUACGGUAACUGAAGCCAGGGAUUAAUCGAAUUUGGGGAAACCUACGAAUCGCG